AGGGGCUUAGCUUAAGGAGAGCGGUUGAUUUGCGUUCAGAAGAUGCAGGGCGAGGUCUUGCAGUCCCUA
rnacentral:tRNA from 1 species